UUUCUGGGAAAGGGGCUCUGAAUGAGCCAUGUUCUGAUGGGUGCGGCCCAUGGCAACGCCGUGGGCACGAGAUACAUACGCACCUACUAAGGCGUAGGCAGCUUUAUCUGCGUGAUGAUCGAUUGACCAUUAUGCCACUGAGAGUAACGGUUGUUGAAAUGCCUGCUUCUGUUGCUAUGUCAGAAGGGUAGUAUUGUAAAUUAAUCCUUCAAUUUCCAUGUCAUUAUCUUAUAAAUGUUUAUAUAUCACGAUGUUAUGGUAGAAUUAGAUUUUCUUUCUUGCUUNUAGUUUAUUCUACCUUACAAUUCACAAUUAAUGUAGGUUUAGUUGUGAGUUCCCUUAAAUAGUUAUGAAUUUGCAAUUCAUGAUUAAAUAUUGUAAACUUAUCUUUUAUUUAUACUUCACAACUAAAAUGUUUUUCUACUAUGAAAUAAAUGUUUUGCUUACAAUUCACGAUCAAGACUUUAUAAAUUCGUGAAUUUUAACCUUUAUGAAUUAAAGGCAAAAUAAUGCGUUAAGCCAAAAAUAUAAUUAUUUAUAUUUUUUUCAGAAUUAUUGCUAUCUUUAUUAUAUUAAGUAAUUAAUUAUUUUGAUAUUGUAACUCUAAUAGCUAUCUCUAAUCGGCCUAAAAAAUAAAAUAAAACUGAGUCCAUUGUAGCAUGAUCUUCCAAUUCAUUUGUUUGAUUAUUAUAACUAGUGUGUAACCCAUCGAAAAUUUGGACGAAUGAUAUUUAUGUUUCGUUGUCACGCAUUAAUUUGUGAUGUUUGAUCUUUUAAUAGGUCUUUUUGAAAAUAUUCCUUUUGUUUCAAACAAAUAGUUUCAUGACACAACUUUUAGUAAAAAUUGUGAGUGAAAAAAUUAUCAUAUUUUAGAACUAGUAUUAAUAGAUUAAUUAAUUAUAUAUAAAUGGAGUAAGAGGCCCAUCAUCUAGUUGAAUAGGUAAAUAAUUGAUGUAUUAAGAAUAAUAUGUUAUGAAAAAUUAUCAUACCUUUUAAUUAAUUGUAUGUAAGUAGAGAAAGAGGUCAUCAUGUAAUUGAAUGAGUAAAUAAGUCGAUAUAUUAAAAGUAAUAUUGGAUGGUGUCUUAAAAUGAAAGUAAAUUAAUUUUUUAUGGAUUUACAAAAUGACAAAAAUAAACUAUUUUAUGCGAUAAAAUGAAUAUGAUACUAUUUGCCAUUUGCCAUGCCAAUAAGAUACAACACGAUUUAUGAUUAUAUGGGAUUGAUUUUAUAUAAAUAAACAGAUUUAUUAUAAAUAUAUUAUGAAAUAUUAAAUUGCUAUAAAUAUUAUAAAUAAAUAAAAUAAUUAUUAUAAAAAUCAUAUUUAAACCAUGAAUUCAUUUAACUUUAAAUUAAUACAUUAUAAAUCUUUAUAAUUAACUUAAAAGUGAAAUGAGAAGUUGAGUCUAAUUAAAAGACUUUAAUUUUAUUAAUACGGCAAACACGCUGGACCUUAUUAGGCUCUGAUGAUAUUCACUUGGCCACAUUGUUGCUUGGACUUCAAGAAAUUUCUUGAAAGCAUCCUCUCGAAGCUACUCGGCAGCCCCACACAAUCUGCACGAUCAAUUAUUCUAUUCCCCAUCUAAACCCCACGCCAAAAUUUAUUUCCACCUAUAUCCCCUCUAAACCCACACCUCUACCGUCCCUAUAUAAAAACCUCCACCUCCGCCCACUACUCAACCUCCUCCUUCUUCUCCAGAAGUACCAGAGCUGAUUCCAUGGUGGACGACGGCGGUGGCGGUGUCUGGCCGGCGUUCCCUGUAGCCUUCUUCGACGGCGAGAGGGAGAUGGACAUUGGCGACGUCAGGAUUAGUCCUGCCAUGGAGUACAAGUCCUUUCAGCUAAUGCUAAGCGAGAAGAUAGGGAUCUCACCCAAUCAGAUUUCGAUAUACCUCGUCAAUCGGAGAAGGAACCGGAAGUCUCCUUUCUCUGACGAUCGCCGUCGGAUUCCGAUCACCGGAAAGGCCAACUUCGGCGCGAUAUGUCGCCUGAAGGAAUGCUACUUCCUCGUCAUACUGAAGAGGUCGCGGAAGUCGAGGAGCCGCAGGGAGAGGACGAUGGCCGCCAAUUUCGUGUCUCGCGCGGCGGCGGUUCGUCCGGCGCCGGAGCAUCUGAUUCUGCUGAGGAGGAGUCAACCGGCGCCGCUAUACGGCCGGAUUGCUCAGCCGGAAGGAGGAGACGCGAAAUCGCCGUUGCUGAAAGGCGAUUUGUUUCCGGCGACUGAUCCGACGUGGUUGGCCAUGAACGGAAAUGGAGACGGCAAGGCCUUCUGUGAAGAAUGCUGGAACGCGGAGAAGAAUGGAGGUACGAUGUCGUUCCAUCCCUGCAUCAACGACGCGGUAAUUACUCGGUUCACCACGCGGUUAGGGCCGAUUAAUCGACCCAAUAAAUGCUCUUAAAAAUAUUAACUAUAUAUAUUCUACUUAAAUAGAAUAGAUAACAAUAGCAGUAUUUCUGGGAAAGGGGCUCUGAAUGAGCCAUGUUCUGAUGGGUGCGGCCCAUGGCAACACCGUGGGCACGUACAUACGCACCUACAGCUUUAUCUGCGUGAUGAUCGAUUGACCAUUAUGCCACUGAGAGUAACGGUUGUUGAAAUGCCUGCUUCUGUUGCUAUGUCAGAAGGGUAGUAUUGUAAAUUAAUCCUUCAAUUUUCCAUGUCAUUAUCUUAUAAAUGUUUAUAUAUCACGAUGUUAUGGUAGAAUUAGAUUUUCUUUUCUUGCUUCCUAAUCCUAGGUGUUGAACGAAUUUUUGUUUUGCCGAGUUUGAAAGUUCAAAGUUGAACGACCAAGCACAAAUUCAACUAUUUGUUCUAUUAUUCUACGUGAAA
rnacentral:lncRNA from 1 species